UACGAGGGGGGCAAAUGUUGUUCGGAAUCACUAAACGUAAAAGGAGCGUAGGCGGGCUCUUAAGUUAGGUGUUUAAUCCCGGAGCCCAACCCCAAACAAACACCUAAAACUGGGAGUCUUGAAUAGUGGAGAGGACGGCGGAAUUGGGGGUGUAGCGGUGGAAUGCGUAGAGAUCCCCAAGAACACCAGUUGCGAAGGCGGCCGUCUGGACACAUAUUGACGCUGAGGCUCGAAAGCAUGGGGAGCAAACAGG
rnacentral:rRNA from 1 species